CUUACUGAUUACCUUUCCUUGUCAACUCACCUUCCAGCCUCUUCUUGUAAUUAACCAGUGGAUGUAGUUUGUAUAGACUCUAUAUUAAAUCCUUGGAUAGUAUCCCAACUGUCAUAUGUCUGUUAACAAGUAAAUUUGCCCAAAUAAUGUUUAGGAUACCGUCCAGUUCGUAGUAAUUCAAUAUACAAGCCAUAUACCAUCCAUAACAUGAUAAGACAUAAUUUGGCACAUAUUCAUAUUUAUAUGUCUAUUUUCUUUUAUCAAUGUAUAGGUGUUCAUAGUCUAGUUGAUAUGUCUCUGGAACAUAGAUCAUAAAGAGUUAAAAUCCAGCUACAGCACUUCUGUUCUUCACAAGACACAACAUUUAUCUUGUACAUUUGCAACACUAGAUUCAGGCAAGGUCCAUUACCGGUGUUGCAGACACAGGGAGAUGAUCAUCAAUUGAUGGGGUCUCCAGGUCAUCUUGAUACUCUACAACAACAUGACGAUGAGGAGGAGGAUGUUCACCAUGAUGCUGUCCAAGAAGAGGUCCAACAAGAAGAGGUCCAACAAGAUGAGAUCCAACAAGAUGAGAUCCAACAAGUUGAGGUCCAACAAGAUGAGGUCCAACAAGAUGAGGUCCAACAAGAAGAGGUCCAACAAGAAGAGGUCCAGAGAGAUGAAGUAAAAAAAGCAGAGGUAAUGGAAGAGGAUGUUAAAGCACCAAAAGACAAGCAACCUAAAACCAGAACAAGGAGACAAAAAAGGGCAAGACAUCGAUAAGAGAAAUCGUCUAUAUCUGCAAAGACUUGAACUUUCAUGAAAUUCAAUAUGAUGGGUUUCUCUGUCUUGGUUCUAUGUCCGAUCGUCAUCAAGUAUCAUCUCAGGUUCAACUGCAAUACAGUAGCAUCUGAUUUACUUAAGGUCUGAGUAUUCAUUCAAGGUUCAGGGGAAUAGGUAAUGGACCACUGCACAAUAUUUCAAAUAUCUCACUGAGUUGUGAAGAAGUUGAGGGGUGGAAUAAUUCACAAGCAAGGUCAUAUCUUACUUCUAAGUGGUUUGUUGGUUGUAAUGUUGUGAAGAUCUUAAAAUUUGACUGCACACUGAUAUCAAGAUGCUUUUAAUAAAAGCAGGAAAAUGUUAAUGAAAGUUUGAUGAAAGUCCAUCAAAACUAGCGGGCAUAUAUAAAUGACAAUAAUUUUUAUUUUACUCUGUUACAUGCAAUCAGCUGCAUUAUAAAAUUCCAAAAGUUUCAUAAUGACUAAAUAUAUUUUUCUCAUAGAAUUUUGUAUUACAAUAUCAAUUGAACACAGAGAAUUUUAGAUCACAUAAAUCCAUUCCGUGUUAUGUUUUUCCAAGUUUGUUGAUAAUUCUGUAUUUUUGUUUUUAUUUCUUGAUUUUUCAAAACACAAUCAAGGUCAGUUUCACUAUCCCCUUUAAUAUCUCACCAGCAAUACACAUGUAACAACAUCAAUUUCCAUGGGCUAGUCAGUUUAGUGGGUUUUUUUUAUAUGUGCUAAUAUGCCUUGUCAGUUUUCCUAAAUGCAUUUAAGAAAAAUGUGGAUAAUGCAAAUGAAAUAAUUAUCAGAAAUGUUGAAGCAUGAAUAAAAUAAAUAUAGUGAUUCUGUAAAUGGCACUGAACAAAGACACCCCCAUUCCCUCUCUUCUUCAUGUUGUACUUAUCUAGAACAAAUACAACAUUAUCAAAACUGAACAGGAGAAUAAUUCUAAUAAUAGUCUGUUCUUCUAAAGCUCAUAUUGCAGUAUGGAAAAAGUCUGUAGGCACUUUCAUAGGACUUUGAAGAUGGUCACCCUGGCUCUUGCCUCAGCAGCCAUAACACAGUACGCAAUGCUUUAGAGGAAUUAAUCCUACUUGGCAACUAUUAUCUUCAUCUGGUUCAAGAGCAACUCGAUGUGGAUGAAUUUCUUUUUUUUUAAUCACCUCCUUCGAUCCAACCUGAGACACUUUGAUUGAAAUUUCAGAGUCAGAACCACAAAACCACUAGCGUUGAUUUUCUUCGGCAAGAUAUUCAUCCACAUCUUGCUGCACUUGACCCAGGUGAGGUUAAUGGGUACCUGCAGGAAGAAAUUCCACAAAAAGCUGUGAGCAAUAGAAUCAGUAGAGCAGCAUAUCUGGGGUGAUAUAGGAGCGCCUUCAGCACCUAACAAGAUGGAUAUGUGCACAAAUUAAUUACCCUAUCUUGUUAUUAUAAUGAAUAUUUAUUCUAAUUAUUCAUAUAUUUUCAUAAACACACAUAAAAACUAGAAAGAUUUUAACUGGAAAUGGAAUGAAUUGAAUUGAAUAGUUGGGAACACAGAGUGACCAUUCUUUGCACUGUAUCCAUGGUUCAUAUGAUUUCUGUAUGAAGAUUUUAAUUAAAUAAUGUUAUGCAGGCAUUAGCAGGGUAUGAAAAAUGCACAUUCAGUCCUUGGAUCAAUAUAAUGAAAUAUGAUAACUACCAUAUGAAAUAACUAUGAUCUGCAGUUCAGAAUUUGGGAAAUGGUUAUUGGUGGAGAUGAUAUAAUUUAUUCAUACCUGCACCUUUUAUUCAGAAGGCUGAAGAAUCCAUGAUGAUCCAUACUGCAGUAUUUUAGGGCAGGGUUGUAAAGUACAUGUAACGUAAUUAAAAUGUGCUCAUUAAAAAACAUUUUAUAAUUGCAUGUACCUAAAUGAUUAUGAAACAUGGAAGCUAUUAAACUUAAUAGAGCUUAAUGUUUCAUUUACCAGACAAAAUAUGUAGUUCAGACACCAUUUCUUUUUUUUUAUUUGGAGCAGAUUAUAACAAUUUUAUCAAUAUUCCUUUGCUUUGGUGAUUCCUGAUUUCAUGACAAGUUCAUGUACAAUAGAAAAAAGUUGUAAAGUGAACAUUUGGAGUUAUUCGACAUCUGAUUAUUUGUUGCAGAUAUAUUGUAAAGACUUAUCUGAACUUUUAUAAUGCUUUGAAUUGUAAAUUUAUUUUUCAAGAGAUCUUUUCUGGAUAUUUAAAAAAGAGAGAAAAAAAUGAAUAAACUAAAAAAUAUUCAAGGUCUUUUUAAUGUUUCUAUUUGAUUUUGUACAUUCUUCCUUUAAUGUCAGCAGAGAUACCAUGGAACAAUCCCUUUUGAAUUUACAUUUUGAAUCUUUCCUCAGUUUGAUAUGAAUAAAAUAAUCAUUUGGAAAUAAGUACGAUCCCAUAUCCAUCACGUUUUUAGCAGCAAUACCUCCAUUUAGAUUACCAGAUUGUCUUAUAACCAUUUGCUCUAUAAUAUUACCAUUUAGCCCUUUUAACAUAUUUUUUUUAAUUUCGAGCAGACAAUUCGAUUCGAAUUUUGUCUUAUAUCUACUUGUUCUAACAAAACUUUAAUGGUCUAUAUGAUUAUAUGACUUUUUUAUUAACAAAAUUUUCAUUUAGAAAAUAAGUAGGAGUGAAAAUUAGACAUUUAUACUAAAUGACAAUUACAACAAGUGUAAAGUAGAUCAAACAACAAUAAUACCAAAUUGAUAGAGUACUGAAAGGGUUUAGACCAUUCUGGUGGUACUAGACUAUCUGAGAAGUAGAUUAUCUGGUUGGACACCAAGUGAAUAUGAACCAUAUGAUCUACCUGUUGAAGAUUUGAACUUAUACUAUCAGAAGAAAGUAAUAAAUCAUGAGGCUCUUUGCCACCCA